rnacentral:misc_RNA from 1 species
UAUGAAGAACGCAGCGAAAUGCGAUAAGUAAUGUGAAUUGCAGAAUUCAGUGAAUCAUCGAAUCUUUGAACGCACAUUGCGCCCGCCAGCAUUCUGGCGGGCAUGCCUGUUCGAGCGUCAUUUCAACCCUCGAGCCCCCCCGGGGGCCUCGGUGUUGGGGGACGGCACACCAGCCGCCCCCGAAAUGCAGUGGCGACCUCGCCGCAGCCUCCCCUGCGUAGUAGCACACACCUCGCACCGGAGCGCGGAGACGGUCACGCCGUAAAACGCCCAACUUCUUAGAGUUGACCUCGGAUCAGGUAGGAAUACCCGCUGAACUUAAGCAUAUCAAUAAGCGGAGGA